rnacentral:rRNA from 2 species
UGAUUGGUGCUUGCAUCAUGAUUUACAUUUGAGUGAGUGGCGAACUGGUGAGUAACACGUGGGAAACCUGCCCAGAAGCGGGGGAUAACACCUGGAAACAGAUGCUAAUACCGCAUAACAACUUGGACCGCAUGGUCCGAGCUUGAAAGAUGGCUUCGGCUAUCACUUUUGGAUGGUCCCGCGGCGUAUUAGCUAGAUGGUGGGGUAACGGCUCACCAUGGCAAUGAUACGUAGCCGACCUGAGAGGGUAAUCGGCCACAUUGGGACUGAGACACGGCCCAAACUCCUACGGGAGGCAGCAGUAGGGAAUCUUCCACAAUGGACGAAAGUCUGAUGGAGCAACGCCGCGUGAGUGAAGAAGGGUUUCGGCUCGUAAAACUCUGUUGUUAAAGAAGAACAUAUCUGAGAGUAACUGUUCAGGUAUUGACGGUAUUUAACCAGAAAGCCACGGCUAACUACGUGCCAGCAGCCGCGGUAAUACGUAGGUGGCAAGCGUUGUCCGGAUUUAUUGGGCGUAAAGCGAGCGCAGGCGGUUUUUUAAGUCUGAUGUGAAAGCCUUCGGCUCAACCGAAGAAGUGCAUCGGAAACUGGGAAACUUGAGUGCAGAAGAGGACAGUGGAACUCCAUGUGUAGCGGUGAAAUGCGUAGAUAUAUGGAAGAACACCAGUGGCGAAGGCGGCUGUCUGGUCUGUAACUGACGCUGAGGCUCGAAAGUAUGGGUAGCAAACAGGAUUAGAUACCCUGGUAGUCCAUACCGUAAACGAUGAAUGCUAAGUGUUGGAGGGUUUCCGCCCUUCAGUGCUGCAGCUAACGCAUUAAGCAUUCCGCCUGGGGAGUACGGCCGCAAGGCUGAAACUCAAAGGAAUUGACGGGGGCCCGCACAAGCGGUGGAGCAUGUGGUUUAAUUCGAAGCUACGCGAAGAACCUUACCAGGUCUUGACAUACUAUGCAAAUCUAAGAGAUUAGACGUUCCCUUCGGGGACAUGGAUACAGGUGGUGCAUGGUUGUCGUCAGCUCGUGUCGUGAGAUGUUGGGUUAAGUCCCGCAACGAGCGCAACCCUUAUUAUCAGUUGCCAGCAUUAAGUUGGGCACUCUGGUGAGACUGCCGGUGACAAACCGGAGGAAGGUGGGGAUGACGUCAAAUCAUCAUGCCCCUUAUGACCUGGGCUACACACGUGCUACAAUGGAUGGUACAACGAGUUGCGAACUCGCGAGAGUAAGCUAAUCUCUUAAAGCCAUUCUCAGUUCGGAUUGUAGGCUGCAACUCGCCUACAUGAAGUCGGAAUCGCUAGUAAUCGCGGAUCAGCAUGCCGCGGUGAAUACGUUCCCGGGCCUUGUACACACCGCCCGUCACACCAUGAGAGUUUGUAACACCCAAAGUCGGUGGGGUAACCUUUUAG